rnacentral:rRNA from 1 species
GACGAAGGGGGCUAGCGUUGUUCGGAAUUACUGGGCGUAAAGCGAGUGUAGGUGGUUGUCCAAGUUGGAUGUGAAAGCCUUGAGCUCAACUCAAGAAAUGCAUUCAGGACUGGGCGGCUAGAGGACCGGAGAGGAUAGUGGAAUUCCCAGUGUAGUGGUGAAAUACGUAGAGAUUGGGAAGAACACCAGUGGCGAAGGCGGCUAUCUGGACGGUUUCUGACACUAAGACUCGAAAGCGUGGGGAGCAAACGGG